rnacentral:tRNA from 1 species
GGGCCGGUCGUCUAGUUUGGCUAGACGGUUUGGAAGGGGCUAAGAUACUACCCUUACGAGGUAGAGCCGAGAGAUGGCGCUGAGUGGUCGCCAGUUCGAGUCUGGCCCGGCCCACCA